GAUGAACGCUGGCGGCGUGCCUAAUACAUGCAAGUCGAGCGAACAGACGAGGAGCUUGCUCCUCUGACGUUAGCGGCGGACGGGUGAGUAACACGUGGAUAACCUACCUAUAAGACUGGGAUAACUUCGGGAAACCGGAGCUAAUACCGGAUAAUAUAUUGAACCGCAUGGUUCAAUAGUGAAAGACGGUUUUGCUGUCCCUUAUAGAUGGAUCCGCGCCGCAUUAGCUAGUUGGUAAGGUAACGGCUUACCAAGGCAACGAUGCGUAGCCGACCUGAGAGGGUGAUCGGCCACACUGGAACUGAGACACGGUCCAGACUCCUACGGGAGGCAGCAGUAGGGAAUCGUCCGCAAUGGGCGAAAGCCUGACGGAGCAACGCCGCGUGAGUGAUGAAGGUCUGCGGAUCGUAAAACUCUGUUAUUAGGGAAGAACAAAUGUGUAAGUAACUAUGCACGUCUUGACGGUACCUAAUCAGAAAGCCACGGCUAACUACGUG
rnacentral:rRNA from 1 species